CUUUCUAAUAUUUGUCAAUUGGAUCUACUCAUCUCUAAUCUUGUCACAGCAGGGUCGAAAGAGUGGAAUUGGGAGUCCGACCAUUGGCGUUCUCCAGCAACUUGUUUGAGGGAUUUAGGCCUCAUUUGGAAAAGCUUUUAGAAGGCCAAAAAGAACUGUCUGACUUUCUACUUUUAGAUAAAAUAAAGAUAUUUAGUAAAAAUUUUGGAAAGCACAUGAUUCGCAAAAUUUAAUGGUAUUUGCCUUUUGUUUUGAUCAACAGUAUAAAUGAGCCAAGAUGAGUGGAAUUUAAUGAUGCUUGGGCUGCGCAACACUUGUAAUAUGUCAGUUUGGGCUUGGCUUGAGCUUGGACCAUGCUCAAUAAAGACAUUGAUCAAACUUGG
rnacentral:lncRNA from 1 species